rnacentral:misc_RNA from 1 species
GAUGAAGAACGUAGUGAAAUGCGAUAAGUAGUGUGAAUUGCAGAAUUCAGUGAAUCAUCGAAUCUUUGAACGCACAUUGCGCCCCUUGGUAUUCCAUGGGGCAUGCCUGUUUGAGUAUCAUGAACACCUCAACUCUUUAUGGUUUUCCAUGAUGAGCUUGGACUCUGGGGGUUUUGCUGGCUCACAGUCGGCUCCUCUAAAAUGAAUCAGCUUACCAGUGUUUGGUGGGUAUCAUGGGUGUGAUAACUAUCUACGCUUGUGGUUUUUCCACCAGGUAACCUUCAGCAGUGGAGGUUCGCUGGAGCUCAUAGAUGUCUCUCCUCAGUGAGGACAGCCCUUUGAAUGUUUGAUCUCAAAUCAGGUAGGACUACCCGCUGAACUUAAGCAUAUCAAUAAGCGGAGGA